ensembl:lncRNA
UGGAGCUGAAUGUGGCCAAGUCAGUGACCCGGUGGGAAGGAAGACACGAUUUUCAUUUACUCAUCUGAAAAGGGCAGUGCAGGUCUGAACCGCCCUCCAUUUGUUUUCAGAUUGCUUUCAGACUCCUCUCAACAUAGGGAUGGCCAGCUGUCUGCUCAAACACCCAGAGGAUAUUUGUGCAUCUUUCACCCCAUCAGCCUGCUCCUGCAGGACCUGAAUUUAUGUUGCUUGGGCUGUAAACCCCCUGCACAGCCUCCCAGUGGUCUGGAUGGAUACCUAAUUUGCUUUCAGCAUCGCAUAUCCACUUUCGACAUCAGAGGAUACAGUUUCUGAGCUUUGCAGAAGUUUUAGCUGCUCAACUACCAUUAAAGUCAAUUGGAUCAUGUGGCUAAAGUAACAUAUAACAAUUGGAGAAUGCACUCCAGGGUUAAACUGCUGUACUUGAGCUAUUAGAUUGAAAGAAUUAUCC